rnacentral:piRNA from 1 species
UGAAAUAUGUUGGGGUGAUGAGGAUU